CUCGAGCCUCAGCACCAUUUUAACUCAUCGGGAGGCCUUCAGCGAGGAAAGCGACGGAAGGAGGAGAGAAACACGCAGGGCGAGGAAGAAGGCCUGUUGUGAAAGAAAAAAGCCCUUUCCCCUCAGGGAACACCGGCUCUCUUGGCACUAGUUCUUCUGUCCUGUCACUUACCAACUCACCCUUGAACUGGAGCAAUAAAUGUAUUGUGUGGUUUUCCUGCUACUGCAGUAACUGAUUCCGGUGGAAAAAUGCAGUAACUUUUCACAUCAAGGGAAAGUAAUUCCCUAUUUUUUAAAAAAAUUCUGUAUAUUGUGCUGAUAUGAUGUUAACAAAGCUGAAGUAAUGUACCACUGAAGCUAAAAAUAAUAAUAAAUUGAAAUAUUAAGAAAUAUUAAGAUACCAGAUAUUG